rnacentral:rRNA from 1 species
CCAGUACCGUGAGGGAAAGGUGAAAAGCACCCCGGAAGGGGAGUGAAAUAGAACCUGAAACCGUGUGCCUACAACAAGUCAAAGCCCGUUAAUGGGUGAUGGCGUGCCUUUUGUAGAAUGAACCGGCGAGUUACGAUUGCAUGCGAGGUUAAGUUGAAGAGACGGAGCCGCAGCGAAAGCGAGUCUGAAUAGGGCGUUUGAGUAUGUAGUCGUAGACCCGAAACCAUGUGAUCUACCCAUGUCCAGGUUGAAGGUGCGGUAAAACGCACUGGAGGACCGAACCCACGUACGUUGAAAAGUGCGGGGAUGAGGUGUGGGUAGCGGAGAAAUUCCAAACGAACUUGGAGAUAGCUGGUUCUCUCCGAAAUAGCUUUAGGGCUAGCCUCGGAAUUGAGAAUGAUGGAGGUAGAGCACUGUUUGGACUAGGGGCCCAUCUCGGGUUACCGAAUUCAGAUAAACUCCGAAUGCCAUUCAUUCAUAUCCGGGAGUCAGACUGUGAGUGAUAAGAUCCAUAGUCGAAAGGGAAACAGCCCAGACCACCAGCUAAGGUCCCAAAAUAUAUGUUAAGUGGAAAAGGAUGUGGGGUUGCACAGACAACUAGG